GCGGAGGAAAAGAAACCAACAGGGAUUGCCUCAGUAACGGCGAGUGAAGCGGCAACAGCUCAAAUUUGAAAUCUGGCUCUUUCAGGGUCCGAGUUGUAAUUUGUAGAAGAUGCUUCGGGUGUGGCUCCGGUCUAAGUUCCUUGGAACAGGACGUCAUAGAGGGUGAGAAUCCCGUAUGUGACUGGCUGCCUCCCCCAUGUGAAGCUCUUUCGACGAGUCGAGUUGUUUGGGAAUGCAGCUCAAAAUGGGUGGUAAAUUUCAUCUAAAGCUAAAUAUUGGCCAGAGACCGAUAGCGCACAAGUAGAGUGAUCGAAAGAUGAAAAGCACUUUGGAAAGAGAGUUAAACAGUACGUGAAAUUGUUGAAAGGGAAGCGCUUGCAAUCAGACUUGCGCGCGGUCGAUCAUCCGAUGUUCUCACCGGUGCACUCGACCGUGCUCAGGCCAGCAUCGGUUUCGGUGG
rnacentral:rRNA from 2 species